rnacentral:rRNA from 1 species
AUGAACGCUGGCGGCGUGCCUAAUACAUGCAAGUCGAGCGAACAGACGAGGAGCUUGCUCCUCUGACGUUAGCGGCGGACGGGUGAGUAACACGUGGAUAACCUACCUAUAAGACUGGGAUAACUUCGGGAAACCGGAGCUAAUACCGGAUAAUAUAUUGAACCGCAUGGUUCAAUAGUGAAAGACGGUUUUGCUGUCACUUAUAGAUGGAUCCGCGCCGCAUUAGCUAGUUGGUAAGGUAACGGCUUACCAAGGCAACGAUGCGUAGCCGACCUGAGAGGGUGAUCGGCCACACUGGAACUGAGACACGGUCCAGACUCCUACGGGAGGCAGCAGUAGGGAAUCUUCCGCAAUGGGCGAAAGCCUGACGGAGCAACGCCGCGUGAGUGAUGAAGGUCUUCGGAUCGUAAAACUCUGUUAUUAGGGAAGAACAAAUGUGUAAGUAACUAUGCACGUCUUGACGGUACCUAAUAAGAAAGCCACGGCUAACUACGUG